UUUCAUUACUUUUUUUUUUUGCCCUGGGGGGGGGGGUUAAAAACAUGUUUUUGAACUUUAAAUUUUGGUUUAGUGGAUUUUGCCCAAUGAUGGAAAACUCAUUGAAUGGAGCAGUUCGACUGAUUUUCGCUUUAGAGCAUUUACUAUCAUCAUUUGUUGUUCAAUUCCUUUUCCUCUUCCACUUCCUCCCCUUCCGUUUCUCUAUCCUUUCUGGUUCCUGUCGAUAACUCUCUCCUCUUUCCCUGUUCUCUUUCUCUAUUCUUUCGAUCUAUAAUUCUAUUUAUCUUCUUAUUGACACAGAUGAUGGUUGAUAAAUUCUCUUAAUGAAAACCAGUUUGUUAAUACUGUGAAUGACCAGAUAUAGCUAUGAGAUCUGAGGGCUUUGUUGAACAUUUUGAUUGUAGGAUUAUCAUUCUGUUUUUUUUUCUCAUGUGAUUUGCAUCUUGAUUAUACUCAUGCGUACCCUUAGCUGAAUGCAUUGUUAUUAGCGGUUUUCUGCAAUGAGAUUGUAUUUUUGGCUGUUAAUUGGCCUUUAGAACUCCAGUACAGUAUGGAAUUGUAAUGCUAUCGAAUAGUUGUAUGAUCUCAUUGGAUAUGUUGUAUGGGUCUUUAGUUUCAUUAAUCUUAUGAACUAUGUCAAUCUCAAUGGCAAUGUCAUACUUGAAAUUAGUCUUUUGUUGCUAGAUGAAGCUUCAUUUCCUUCUUGAUGCUUUUAUUGCGUCUAUUUCAUCAAUUAUUGUAUCCGACCCGCUUCUUCUUUAGUUGCUAAUUUGAAACCAUUAAACAUUUAAUUGUCUGAGAAAAUAUUGUGAACCCUUUUUCUGGUUUAAUACCAACUGGUAUUUGUAAGUACGUUAACUUCCUAGUGAUUCACUAUGUUUCUAGUCAAUAUUUCACUGCUUUUGAUACCAUCUGUGUGACAUAUGCUUAAUGAAUUUCAGAGGUUUUGGCAUGUGCCCAAUGGCGAGAAAAAGCUGAUAUAUUGGGUAGUUCUUUUGCUACUUAGUCUUGUUGUUGUUUACCUUUUUCACCGAGCUCUUGGAAUGAAAGUCAUGAGCAUCACUAUUGUUGAAUUAUGUUACUAAAGUUAUAUUUCUUUCUUUGAAAUAUAUCUUCCUUGUUGUUAUAGGGCUUUUAGGGUAUCUAAAGCUUGAUUAGAGCCUUGGUGACCAUUGUACCUUUUGCUUUCUCAGUAUAUACUCUUUUAGUAAAUCAUAGUUUCUUCUUUCAAUGAUGUUAUGUAGGGUUUUAGAAACCUGUGCCUUGGGUUUCAUUGAGACUUAUUGCUGCUUUUGCCCCAUGAUGGAAAACUCAUUUUUGAUUGAAUGGUUCUGGUUUUCUAUUCUUCUCUGGCUUUUGCACUCCACCUCCUCUCUCUCUCUCUCUCUCUCUCUUGGAUGGUCUUUAUACUGGCUGUGCAUUGGAUGGUUUUCCAAUACACACACACACUAUACCUUUCUAUCUAUCUAUAUCUAUAUAGACAUUUCUUUGGUGGUAAGGUGGUGUAUGAAAAGCCAUUGAAUGAUGUGUUUACUGUGAAACUGUACAUGAUGUUGGCAUAGCCAUGAGGUCUGAGGGCUCUUUUUGUUUGCACUUCUAGUGCAUUUUGGAGGCAGAUGUGUUCAGCCAAAAGGUGCUAAUUUAGUUCAAAUAGAACUGUGUAAGGAGUUUGUAUCUUUUGACUUCUGGCAUUAACAAAUGCCAUAUACAGUGCUGAACUGUAAAUAUGUGUGUGUGCAUAUUUUUCACUUUCCUUUUCCUUCUAUGAGUGUAUUUUUAGUGAGCAAUCUUAGAGAUACCUUAUACUUUAUAUUAUGAAUGUAUUUAAGCCCAAUGCUUCAGAGAAAUGCAGACAUAGUAUUUCUGGUUGAUUAAAUCUGCAUUUAUAUUUAUAUUUAAUCUUUGCUGUUGUGAGGUGGGUUUUCUAUGGUUUUAUUUGAUAGUACAUGUGUAUAUUUAUCACCCCUUUUUUCUUCUAUGAGCAUAUUUGGCAUCGAGUUCACAUUCCCUAAACACGCUUGGAUGUUAGUUUGCUCAUCAACCUGCCCUGCCCAAUGAUGAAUACUUGUAUAGGCUUAGAGGUGCCCACGUCAUUGUUAUUAGCCUCCAUCCUCUCUACUAUUUGUUAUCUCUAGUUUUGGCUUCUUCUUUUUCUUCUUCUCUCUUCGUUGUCGCAGUUGUUGUUGUUAUUAUUAUUACUAUUAUUUUUAUUAUGAUUUGUUAGUCCUUUUGACUAUUGAUGGCAAUGGAAGUAGAGGAUGUGGAAAGGUUAUCAAUGAAACUAAAUAGUCUCACCAUUGAUGAAUUUCUUAGAACUAUUGAGUUCUGACCUCUGAGGGCAUUGCAGGUUCUGUCACUGUAUGAUAUCUGAAGAUGAAAUGAAAUGUUUUGAUUUUCAUUGCUGAAGAGUUUGUUUUUGGGCAUGGACAGGAGAAGUAACAGAAAAUAUUUGUUUUGUGGUCAGGUGGUGUGUGAAAAGUGAAUGCGUUUACAUGAUGUUGACAUAGCCAUGAGUUCUCAGCGCACCUGUUGGUUGCAGUUUUAGAGAUUAGAAGAUGCUAAUUUAGUGGGAAUAGAACUGUGUAUAACUUGGGGCAUUUAAUAAAUGCUGUGUACAGUGCCCAACUAUAAACAAAUGCUCCUGUAUUUUUCACUCUCCUUUCUCCCGAGUGUACUUAUCCACGCUGUCUUUGAGUUAUUAUAUUAUUACAAUAUCAAUGUUUGGGCUUAGGCUGAUAGAUCUCUUCCUAAACCAAAUGUACAAUGCGAA